rnacentral:rRNA from 1 species
GGUGACGAGUGGCGGACGGGUGAGUAAUGUCUGGGAAACUGCCUGAUGGAGGGGGAUAACUACUGGAAACGGUAGCUAAUACCGCAUAACGUCGCAAGACCAAAGAGGGGGACCUUCGGGCCUCUUGCCAUCAGAUGUGCCCAGAUGGGAUUAGCUAGUAGGUGGGGUAACGGCUCACCUAGGCGACGAUCCCUAGCUGGUCUGAGAGGAUGACCAGCCACACUGGAACUGAGACACGGUCCAGACUCCUACGGGAGGCAGCAGUGGGGAAUAUUGCACAAUGGGCGCAAGCCUGAUGCAGCCAUGCCGCGUGUAUGAAGAAGGCCUUCGGGUUGUAAAGUACUUUCAGCGGGGAGGAAGGUGUUGUGGUUAAUAACCGCAGCAAUUGACGUUACCCGCAGAAGAAGCACCGGCUAACUCCGUGCCAGCAGCCGCGGUAAUACGGAGGGUGCAAGCGUUAAUCGGAAUUACUGGGCGUAAAGCGCACGCAGGCGGUCUGUCAAGUCGGAUGUGAAAUCCCCGGGCUCAACCUGGGAACUGCAUUCGAAACUGGCAGGCUAGAGUCUUGUAGAGGGGGGUAGAAUUUCCAGGUGUAGCGGUGAAAUGCGUAGAGAUCUGGAGGAAUACCGGUGGCGAAGGCGGGCCCCCUGGACAAAGACUGACGCUCAGGUGCGAAAGCGUGGGGG